GAGUGAGGCAGUGCCUCGCCCUGCUUCGGCUCGCACACGGUGCGCGCACCCACUGACCUGCGCCCGCUCUCUGGCACUCCCUAGUGAGAUGAACCCGGUACCUCAGAUGGAAAUGCAGAAAUCACCGUCUUCUGCGUCGCUCACGCUGGGAGCUGUAGACCGGAGCUGUUCCUAUUCGGCCAUCUUGGCUCCUCCAGGCCAAUUUACUUUCAAAAAUACCUGCAUCCAGGAACUCUCAUGCUAGCAGGAUGAGGUAAUGACUAUUUCCCAUACUCGUGUCAACUUUGAGCAAUGCUAGGAAUUUCCAUAUGUCCAAACAACUGUUUAUCAGGAAAUGCAACAAGGUACUUUUGACACUGAGCGUGAAAGGAACUCAUUGAACCAAAAUCUUCCAAAAAGACUGGAACAUAAGAGAGCGGAUGAAGAGCAUAAUAGAAGAGAAGUGCCAGGGAGGAGGAUUAUCUUAGGCAGAGCACACUGAGGAUGGAGAGUUACCAGCCCUCCCGAGCUGUCGUUGGCACUGAACCAAUGAGAGCCAUUCAUGUGCCUGUCUGUGCCUUGUGUUUUUCUUCUUCAACAUAUACUUUAGAACAUCCAUUCUGUGCAAAGCUCUGUGCCCACAGCUGUUGAGAUGCCAGAUGCAUGCUGUUCCCUGCCCUGAAGACCCCAGCAGUCAGGCCAGGGAGAGAAGACAUUCUUAGACAACCCAACAGUCGUCCCUGGGGAAAGAAAGUGAAAAGAUACUCCCUGGAACUGGAGAAAAUAUUCGCAAAUCAUAUAUCUGACAAAAGACUUUUAUCAAGAAUACAAAAGGAACAUCCACAACCCCAUCAGAAGAUAACCUAAUUGAAAAAGGGAUAAAAGAUUUGAAGAGGUGUUUCUCCAAAGAAGAUAUAUACAUGGUCAAUAAGCACAUGAAAAAGGUGCACGACAUCAUUAGUUCUUAGAGAAAUGCAAAUCAAAACCACAGUGGAAUACCACUUCAGACCACGAGGAUGGCUAUCAUCAAAAAGAUAUACAAUGCAAGUGCUGGCGAGGAUGUGGAAAAAUGGAAACCCUCAUGCACUGUUGGUGAGGUUGUAAAAUGGUGCAGCCACAUUGGAAAACAGUUUGAAAGUUCCUUAAAAUGUUAGACAGUUAUUAUGUGACCUACCAAUUCUACUCCUGGGAUUUCUACUCCAAAGAGAGAAAAACACAUGUCUACACAAAAACUCAUAAACAAAUGUAUACUUAAUGUAUAGCCACAUUAUAUAUAGCAGCCCACAAAGGGAAAUAAACAAAGGGUCUAUCAACUGAUGGAAAUAUAAACAAAAUGUGGUAUAUUCAUACAAUAGAAUAGAAUUUGGGCUUAAAAUGAAGAAAUUAUUGAUACAUGAUUGAAAGCAUUAAGCAAUGAGAAAGAAGCCAGACAAAAAAGACUCCCUGUUAUAUGGUUCCAUUAUACAGAGUUUUCGCAAUAAGAAAUCUAUAGAAAGAGAAAGUAGAUUAGUGAUUGUUUGGGGCUUGGGGAGGAGAAAUGAGGAGUAACUGCUAAUGAAUAUGAAGCUUCUUUUUGGGGUGAUGAGAAUGUUUUAAACUUAGAUUAUGGUGAUGCUUGCACAACUCUAAAUAUACUAAAAAUCACUGAAUCAUGCACUUAGGUAAAUUUUAUGAUAUAUAAAUUGUGUCUCAACAAAGCUGUGGGGUUUUAUUUUUGUUUUUAUUUUAGAAAAAAGGGGAGUUCAUAAAGGCAGAGAUUUUGGUCUGUCUGAUGUAUCCUCGGUGCUCAGAAUAGUGCCUGUCAGAGUCAUGCUGGGUGGAGUGACUGCUGUUUAGAACAGGGUCUGUGUAAAAAUUUAAAAAAUUUUGUGUUUCCUGAAACCCCUACUAUGGGUUUAUAAAAUAUAAUAUUAAUGUUUGUUUACAAAACUGAAGGGGAAAGUGGAUUUAGAGAAGCCCAAGCUCAUUCAGCCUGAAGUCAGGGAAGCUGGUGCCCAAGUCAGAAUACCCAGUUUUCUUAUUUCCAGGAUUUUGUUGUUUAAUUAGUGCCAUAUAAUGUGACGGACAGGUCCUUGAUUUCUGCCAUCUCACUGACUUCAAAUCUGGGCUCAACCUCCCUUUAACUGGUGAUCUUGGCCAAUUCACUUAGUUUCCAUGCCUUAGUUUCCUCAUCAGCAAAAUGAAUUAAUAAAAAGGUGUUUUCCUCAUCAAGUUGUGAGGAUUGGAUAGGAUAAUAAGAUAGGACUUAUCCUUGGUACAUCAUAAAUGCUUGAUAAAUAAUAGUCAUUAUCUUAAUACAAAAAAUAACCAAAAGAAACGGCAAUUUGCAUUCUCUCUGCCUGCUGCACAAGACACUGGAAUAGGAGCUUUUCUUCCAUACACGCUCUGAGGCAGUUAUUUUAACUACUAUUUUUUCCAG
rnacentral:lncRNA from 10 species